ensembl:ncRNA Y71H2AL.3 ncRNA
UAGGCUUAAGCUUAGGCUUAGGGCUUAAACUUAGGCUCAAGCUUGGGCUUAGGGCAUAUGCUUAGAUUUUGGCUUAGGCUUAGGCUUAGA